GAAGAGAAAAUGGACCCAGAAGAGGGGACCAAAAAAGAGGAGGCGUGUUCGGGUACUGGAGGAAGAAGAAAGGAAGUGCACCUACAUAAUAGCUGCCCAAUCUCUUCCCUGCUCUGAGCCCAGGGGUUUAGUCUGCAGAGCUCUGAGAGUGUAAAAUUUCCCAUGUGCCUUCAAACCAGGUCAUUCUGGAAUCUGGGAUGUCUCAUAUGUCCUGAAACCAACCAGCAGAGGGGAGCAGGCUGACCAAGUGGGCUGAAGGACCCAUGUGGCCAUAUCUGAGGGACACCCUAGCUCACACUGGACAACAGGGGAGGAAAUCAGGAGAGUGCUCACCAGCAGCGGGCAACAUUUCGGACAGUAUAACCACCACCACCCAGCACGAGUAGAGGGAUAUUGAAGCUCUUGACAUAUUCAACGCAUUCCCUGUUAAAAGGAACCAGAGGAAGAUGUGGAGGAGGUUAUCAAAAGACAAGGUAAAUACCUUUAGGUAUUGCCUGAAAGGAGCACAAGAAAACUAUAAAUGUUCUAAAUCUUUAUCUUGAUAGUGAAAUUCAUUAUGUUAUACCCUUAAGAUUUGGGUAUACUUUAUAUGCUGUGUCUCAAUAAAAAUUUUAAAAUAAAG
rnacentral:lncRNA from 1 species